rnacentral:rRNA from 1 species
AAAUUGAAGAGUUUGAUCAUGGCUCAGAUUGAACGCUGGCGGCAGGCCUAACACAUGCAAGUCGAGCGGUAGCACAGAGAGCUUGCUCUCGGGUGACGAGCGGCGGACGGGUGAGUAAUGUCUGGGAAACUGUCUGAUGGAGGGGGAUAACUACUGGAAACGGUAGCUAA